GUGAGAAGUCCGGCUUGCUCGACUGAAGCCCGGACGUCCAGGAUGCGAGUGCCCAGUGGGCCACUUUUGGUAAGCAGAACUGGCGCUGUGGGAUGAACCAAACGCUGGGUUAAGGCGCCCGAUGCCAGACGCUCAUCAGAUCCCAUGAAAGGUGUUGGUUGCUAUAGACAGCAGGACGGUGGCCAUGGAAGUCGGAAUCCGCUAAGGAGUGUGUAACAACUCACCUGCCGAAGCAACUAGCCCUGAAAAUGGAUGGCGCUGUAGCGUCGAGCCCAUACCCGGCCGCCCCGGCUGGGCACGGAAGCUUAGGCCGGGGUGAGUAGGAGGUGUCGCAGCGGCGUGCGUUGAAGGUGCCGGGCGUGGGCCCGCCUGGAGCCGCCGCUGGUGCAGAUCUUGGUGGUAGUAGCAAAUACUCAAGUGAGAACCUUGAGGACUGAGGUGGAGAAGGGUUCCAUGUGAACAGCAGUUGAACAUGGGUCAGUCGGUCCUAAGGGAUAGGAGAAAUCCGUUCCGAAGCGGGACCUGCGUGCACCGUGAGGUCCCGUGGUCGACCGAAAGGGAAUCGGGUUAAUAUUCCCGAACUCGGACGCGGAGAUCGGCCCCUCGGGGUCAACUGCGGUAACGCAACCAAACUCGGAGACGUCGAUCGGGGUCCCGGGAAGAGUUGUCUUUUCUUUGUAAGGGAUCGGCUCCCUGGAAUCGGCUCGCCCGGAGAUAGGGAUGCUGUUCCCGUAAAGCACCGCGGCUCUUGCGGUGUCCGGAGCGCUCCGGUCGGCCCUUGAAAAUCCGAGGAGAGUGUGAUUUUCGUGCCGGACCGUACCCAUAUCCGCAGCAGGUCUCCAAGGUGAACAGCCUCUAGUCGAUGGAACA
rnacentral:rRNA from 1 species